UACGUAGGGGGCUAGCGUUGUCCGGAAUCAUUGGGCGUAAAGAGCGUGUAGGCGGCCCGGUAAGUCCGCUGUGAAAGUCGGGGGCUCAACCCUCGAAUGCCGGUGGAUACUGUCGGGCUAGAGUGCGGAAGAGGCGAGUGGAAUUCCUGGUGUAGCGGUGGAAUGCGCAGAUAUCAGGAGGAGCACCGAUGGCGAAGGCAGCUCGCUGGGACGGUACUGACGCUGAGGCGCGAAAGCGUGGGAGCGAACAGG
rnacentral:rRNA from 1 species